rnacentral:rRNA from 1 species
GACGAACGCUGGCGGCGUGCUUAACACAUGCAAGUCGAGCGAUGAAGUUCCUUCGGGAAUGGAUUAGCGGCGGACGGGUGAGUAACACGUGGGUAACCUGCCUCAUAGAGGGGAAUAGCCUUCCGAAAGGAAGAUUAAUACCGCAUAAGAUUGUAGUACCGCAUGGUAUAGCAAUUAAAGGGGUAAUUCGCUAUGAGAUGGACCCGCGUCGCAUUAGCUAGUUGGUGAGGUAACGGCUCACCAAGGCGACGAUGCGUAGCCGACCUGAGAGGGUGAUCGGCCACAUUGGGACUGAGACACGGCCCAGACUCCUACGGGAGGCAGCAGUGGGGAAUAUUGCACAAUGGGGGAAACCCUGAUGCAGCAACACCGCGUGAGUGAUGACGGUCUUCGGAUUGUAAAGCUCUGUCUUCAGGGACGAUAAUGACGGUACCUGAGGAGGAAGCCACGGCUAACUACGUGCCAGCAGCCGCAGUAA